CCUACGGGGGGCAGCAGUGGGGAAUAUUGGACAAUGGGGGGAACCCUGAUCCAGCCAUGCCGCGUGUGUGAAGAAGGCCCUCGGGUUGUAAAGCACUUUCAGUGAGGAAGAACGCCUGGUGGUUAAUACCCAUCAGGAAAGACAUCACUCACAGAAGAAGCACCGGCUAACUCCGUGCCAGCAGCCGCGGUAAUACGGAGGGUGCGAGCGUUAAUCGGAAUUACUGGGCGUAAAGCGCGCGUAGGUGGCUUGAUAAGCCGGUUGUGAAAGCCCCGGGCUCAACCUGGGAACGGCAUCCGGAACUGUCAAGCUAGAGUGCAGGAGAGGAAGGUAGAAUUCGCGGUGUAGCGGUGAAAUGCGUAGAGAUCGGGAGGAAUACCAGUGGCGAAGGCGGCCUUCUGGACUGACACUGACACUGAGGUGCGAAAGCGUGGGUAGCAAACAGGAUUAGAUACCCUAGUAGUC
rnacentral:rRNA from 1 species